rnacentral:rRNA from 1 species
GACGAACCGUGCAAACGUUGUUCGGAAUCACUGGGCUUAAAGGGCGCGUAGGCGGGCUCGCCAGUCAGGGGUGAAAGCCCACGGCUCAACCGUGGAAGUGCCUUUGAUACUGCGAGCCUCGAGGGAGGUAGGGGCGUGCGGAACUUCCGGUGGAGCGGUGAAAUGCGUAGAUAUCGGAAGGAACACCGGUGGCGAAAGCGGCGCGCUGGACCUCUUCUGACGCUGAGGCGCGAAAGCCAGGGGAGCGGAACGGG